rnacentral:rRNA from 1 species
GAUGAACGCUGGCGGCGUGCCUAACACAUGCAAGUCGAGCGAUUUACUUCGGUAAAGAGCGGCGGACGGGUGAGUAACGCGUGGGUAACCUGCCCUGUACACACGGAUAACAUACCGAAAGGUAUGCUAAUACGAGAUAAUAUGCUUUUGUCGCAUGGUAGAAGUAUCAAAGCUCCGGCGGUACAGGAUGGACCCGCGUCUGAUUAGCUAGUUGGUAAGGUAACGGCUUACCAAGGCGACGAUCAGUAGCCGACCUGAGAGGGUGAUCGGCCACAUUGGAACUGAGACACGGUCCAAACUCCUACGGGAGGCAGCAGUGGGGAAUAUUGCACAAUGGGCGAAAGCCUGAUGCAGCAACGCCGCGUGAGCGAUGAAGGCCUUCGGUCGUAAAGCUCUGUCCUCAAGGAAGAAUAAUGACGGUACUUGAGGAGGAAGACCCGGCUAACCGUACUGCCAGCAGCCGCGGUAAAAGUGUAGUGUA